GGGAGUUUGGCCGAGUGGUUUAAGGCGUCAGAUUAAGGUUUCUAAGGCCUAGUAUUCUGAUAUCUUCGGAUGCGCGGGUUCGAAUCCCACAGCUCUCA